GCUGGAAUAGUGCCGGCCAGGAUGGAGGCUGUCAGAGAACCAGUGUGGUUUGAAAAGGUGAAGAAGAGCUUGACAAGUACGGAGGGUGAAGGGGCUGAUCACCGUGUCAGAUAUGUGGUGAAGGGAGGAGGCAAACAGGACGCAGCUCCAAGAGGAAUGAUGGCAAUGUCCACGAACAAGGGCUGUUACAACCUACAAUAAUGAAGGCCUUCACUACUGUGAUCACGGUAAUCCAGGAAACAAUGAAAGUGUCUCGGGUUUGAGUUGACAAAUUAGAGAAAACAUUAUUUAACUGAUGAAUUAACUUUUUGCAUCAAAUUAAUUCUCAGCACAAA